rnacentral:tRNA from 1 species
AAGACUUUAUCUUAAUCAAAGAAUUUGAGUUGCAUUCAUGAGAUGUAGGUUAAUAUCCUACAGGUCUUA